rnacentral:misc_RNA from 1 species
GAUGAAGAACGCAGCGAAAUGCGAUACGUAAUGUGAAUUGCAGAAUUCAGUGAAUCAUCGAAUCUUUGAACGCAUAUUGCGCUCUCUGGUAUUCCGGAGAGCAUGCUUGUUUGAGUAUCAGUAAACACCUCAACUUCCAUAUCUUUUUUGAAAUGGGAGUUGGACUUGAGUGAUCCCAACGCUUUUCCUCACCGAAAAGUGGCGGGUUACUUGAAAUGCAGGUGCAGCUGGACUUUUCUCUGAGCUAUAAGCAUAUCUAUUUAGUCUGCCUAAAAAACAGAUUAUUACCUUUGCUGCAGCUAACAUAAAGGAGAUUAGUUCUUGUGCUGACUGAUGCAGGAUUCACAAAGACGGCUUCGGCCGACUUUGUAAACUCGAUCUCAAAUCAAGUAAGACUACCCGCUGAACUUAAGCAUAUCAAUAAGCGUAGGA